GCCUGGAAAAGAAGGUCAGUCGAGUUUGAGUCUGGCAGAGGUUCCCGGUACAUGACCCAAUGCACUGUUGGAAUUUCUGAGAGAGGUUCCCUUAAAACAUCCUCAACCCAGCCGACAUGACAAUAUGAGCUUUGCAAAGGCCCGAGAACACGGAGACACUUUCUGUGUAAAAGCCGUCGCUUCUCCACAGCAGCUGGCCGAGAGGGAUCCUCUCGCGUUGACUACUGGUCCUGAGGAAGGACACCCUUCUCCUUGGCCCGGGGAGAAAGACACACAGUGAUCUUCCUCUUUGGCCCCUCAUGACGGGACAUCCAGCCGCACUUGGAUGAGGUUUCGUGAGCACAUAAUAAAAUGUCAUCCCCUCCAGCCAUAAA